CGCCUUAAGCUUAUGGGAAAGUGAAUCGGUCUCUAAAUUUAACCUAAAGGAUAAAAUGAUGAGGAAAAGUAUAUGUGACAACAUAAAAUGGAGUAAAAUGUUCUGGAAAAGCAUAUACUAAGCAAGGAAGGAGAAAUGGCUUUUUUUUUAUAAACUAAAAAGAAGAUACUAGGCAUUUCUUUCUAUAGGGAAUAAACUAAAACAGAUGAUACUAGUUUCCUUGUUUAUACUAAAACCGUACCUAAAAACUACCACAAGUAAGCUAGUAGAGAAUACGAAGGCGUUUGAGCUAACAAUCAUUAAGGAACUCGGCAAAUUGACACCGUAACUGAGGGAGAAGGUGUGCCAUUCCUACUGAUUAAUAUCAGUUUAGGAAGAGGAGACAUAAAAUGGUGUUGCACGACUGUUUAAUUAAAACACAGCACUUUGCGUAAGAUGUAAAUCAAUGUAUAGAGUGCGCUAUCUGCCCAAUGAUGGCUGGUUAACGGAUUUACUUAGACGACUAAAAUAGCCUAGGUUUUGAAGGAACCCCCAUUUAAUGGCGGCCUUACCUAUAAGGGUCCUAAGGUAGCGAAAUACCUUGGCAUUUAAAUGAUGUCGCGCAUGAAUGAUCUCACGAUGCAACAGCUGUCUCAAUGAUUGGCUCAGUGAAACUGGAAUGGCAGUGAAGAUACUGCCUAUCUCUAGAUAGACGAGAAGACCCCAUGCAGCUUUACUGUUACUAGUUAUAGGGUAUAAUUUAACAGGUUUUAGGGAAUAAGGUAGUUGAGCGACAAAAUUGAAACACCUUUACUCUGGUUGUUAUAUCAGUAGAAUAGGUUACAUUAUUGUAACUGACGUCUGAAUGUAAUCCAUAAAAGGAGGGAGAUUAUAUCAAGCUCAGGAGACAAUGGCUAGCAGAUGGUUUAUGCGGGGCACAGAUCCCAUAAAGAGUACCUGGGAGUAUCCAAAUUUAUUUUUGUAAUAUGCUAUACGCAAAUUAUAUGGGGCUUUUAUUAAAUAAUUGCCUUGUAUAUUUUAAUUUUUUAAUUACUAUAUUUAGUUUGUUAUUUUUUAUAUUUACUUUUAUAAAGUAUCUAUAACUAAUUCAGUUAUAUUUCUAUUUAAGUUAGAACUAAAACAAUUUAAUAUAAGUAAGAUUUUACCUAUGUGGAAAAUAGGUGUAUAUAUAGUAUUAAUAAUUAAUAUCUAAUUGUAAAAUAACAAUAUAGAGUAAAAGAAGAUAUAAUUAUAACACUAUUAGUUAUUUUUUUUUUACAGAAUACCUGUAUAAGAGAAAUGAUGUUGAUAUAUACUUCAAAAGUUUAAUGGCUUAAUCUUGCUUUACUGUUUGACAUACACGUCUAUCAGUUGCGUAAGCAGGGCAUAAAGACCGCAAGACGCAGUAAGGAAAGGUCUUGUAUUAUUGAAAAAGCUACGCUGGGGAUAACAGGCUAAUUGCGCCAGAGAGUACAAAUUGAGUGCGCAGUUUGGCACCUCGAUGUCGGCUUAGCUCAUCCACAUGAAUGCAGGAAUCAUGAAGGGUACGACUGUUCGUCGAUUAAAGAGCUACACGAGCUGGGUUAAAUACGUCGUGAGACAGUAUGGUUUCUAUCUUCUAGAGGAAAUUGGAGUAAAAUAAGGAUAGCCCCUUCGUACGAAAGGAGUUGGGUAUGGUAACCUAUGGUUUACCUGUUGUUUAUGCGCUUAAUAUUAACCUGAUAAAUUACGGCAAGAAUAGGUUCUCCUCAAUAGGUAGAGAAUGGGUAUCUACAGAAGAAGGAGAGUAAUAUAGAUAGAUUCACAUGAAUACCUAUUCAUGUGAAUUUAUUACCUAUUUGAGCUAUAGAUGGUAAUACUUUUAUACUCAAGUAUUUAUACAUAGUAUAGGCAUGGCAGGAAAGCUAUGUUAGUUAAGAUAAGUGCUGAAUGCAUCUAGGCACGAAGCUUACCUUAGGAUACUCUUAGUAACG
rfam:Pyrenophora teres f. teres 0-1 contig_001769, whole genome shotgun sequence.